CACUAUGCCAGGCACUGGGGAUCCUGAGAUGAAAGUGGCACAUUUGUGCUCAGGGAAAAGCUCUCAGCUUUUCCCUGGAAGACAAACUUAUAAAAAGGAAAAUCUCAACCCGCCUCUGGCAAAUACUCUUUUAAGUAAAAGCAGAAAAAAUCUCCAGGGCACAGAGCAUAGCACAACUAGUUCUGCCUUCGGACCCUGUGAAGACUGCAUAAAAAAAUAAAGAAGUAAAUCAGAGUGUGCAAGAGAACCAACAGCGGACCACCCACAGUGAAGCUGACACUGUGCUGAAGUCUUAAGAUCACUGUCUUCAUUCUCUUCAGUAACCCUGCACCACCACUAUAGCCAUCUGCACCAGGAGAUGACGUGGCCAAGGCACGUGCCUUGGUGGACAUAUUCUGUGCCACUUACACUUUCAACCUCCAGGACGGGGAACUACAUAUACCUCUUUUUUCAUAAGCACCUUGUGUCAGUUGCUGCAGCUUCUUCACUACUUUGCUGCCUUUUGCC